rnacentral:rRNA from 1 species
AGUUUGAUCCUGGCUCAGAACGAACGCUGGCGGCAGGCUUAACACAUGCAAGUCGAGCGCCUCGCAAGAGGAGCGGCAGACGGGUGAGUAACGCGUGGGAAUCUACCGUACCCUACGGAAUAGCUCUGGGAAACUGGAAGUAAUACCGUAUACGCCCGAAAGGGGAAAGAUUUAUCGGGGUAUGAUGAGCCCGCGUUGGAUUAGCUAGUUGGUGGGGUAAAGGCCUACCAAGGCGACGAUCCAUAGCUGGUCUGAGAGGAUGAUCAGCCACAUUGGGACUGAGACACGGCCCAAACUCCUACGGGAGGCAGCAGUGGGGAAUAUUGGACAAUGGGCGCAAGCCUGAUCCAGCCAUGCCGCGUGAGUGAUGAAGGUCUUAGGAUUGUAAAGCUCUUUCACCGGAGAAGAUAAUGACGGUANCCGGAGAAGAAGCCCCGGCUACUCGUC